AGCAAAAUGAUGAGUUAUGUUUCUGAGUAUGUGAUGUAGAAACCAUAUACAGGUCUUCAAAGUUCUCUGAUUGCU
rnacentral:snoRNA from 1 species